ACCUUGUGGAACUCACAGUACGGUAUGUAGGUUCCUACUCUUCACCAGACUCCCACCAGAACCAAUGUAGCACCGUGCCUUCGGGGCAUUUCCUGUGUUUUUCCCAUGCAGCAGUCGUAAGGCUGUUGUCCCUGGUCAGUCAGUCAGCAUCAACCAGGAAGUGGUUUAAUAGGCACUAAAUAGACACUAAUGCCACUGGCAUUAAACAAAGCAUGUGUGUCUAUGUAUGCUAAUGAUUCAACCAUGUACACAUCAGAAACCACAGCUGAUGAAGUCACUGAAACCCUUAACAAAGAGUUGCAGUCUGUUUUGGAAUGUGUGGCCAGUAAUAAACUGGUCCUGAACAUCUCUAAAACUAAGAGCUUUGUAUUUGGUACAAAUCAUUCCCUAAGUUCUGGACCUCAGCUGAAUGUGGUAAUGAACAGUGUGGCUGUUGAACAAGUUGAGGAGACUAAAUUAUGUCAUGUUCUGUGUGGACCCAGUAAGAGGAGCUGCUUCUUUCUCAACAGCUUACAGGGAUCCUGAUAAAAUACUAAGAUACACACACCAAGUCUCUUGUAGUAGUGUGUGUGUGUGUGUGUGUGUGCAACAGCUAACGGGGAUCCUAAUAAAAUACCAAAAUACUACUACACGAGACUUGGUGUGUGUGUGUGCAACAGUGAGAGAGAGAGAGAGAGCGGGAGAGACAAACACCAUUGGGGGGGGGGCAGGCGGGUUUCCUCACAGUGGAACAGGAGGGGAAAGCUGCUGACGAAAGUUGUAAGUGUUAUUGCCCAAUUAGCUUCCCACAGCAACGCUGCAUCACCCUCUGGGCACUGAAAAUGUGCAUCAGAAAUGUCCCCCUAUUCCCUAUAUAGUGCACUACUUUUGGCUAAAACCCCUAUUCCCUAUAUAGUGCACUACUUUUGGCUAAAACCCCUAUUCCCUAUAUAGUGCACUACUUUUGGCUAAAACCCCUAUUCCCUGAGCCCUUAUUCUCUAGACCAGGGGUACUCAACUCUUACCCUACGAGGUCCGGAGCCUGCUGGUUUUCUGUUUUACCUGAUAAUGAAUUGCACAGACCUGGUUUCCCAGGACUAAAUCAGACCCUGAUUAGAGGGGACGAUGAGAACACGCAGUGGAACUGGCUUCGAGGUCCAACGUUGAGUUUGAGGGCUCUAGACCCUAUUUAGUGCACAGCUUAGCCCCUGGACCAAAAGUAGUAGCAGCCAUUUUGGACACAACCUUCCAGUGUGUUCUUUUAAUGUUAGCGGAGCUUUGAGAAGAACAAUGGACAUCCACUAGCUACAUAUCACAGCCCUGGGGAAGAUAGACAUCCACUAGCUACAUAUCACAGCCCUGGGGAAGAUAGACAUCCACUAGCUACAUAUCACAGCACUGGGGAAGAUAGACAUCCACUAGGUACACUGGGGAAGAUAGACAUCCACUAGGUACACUGGGGAAGAUAGACAUCCACUAGGUACAUAUCACAGCACUGGGGAAGAUAGACAUCCACUAGGUACAUAUCACAGCACUGGGGAAGAUAGACAUCCACUAGGUACACUGGGGAAGAUAGACAUCCACUAGGUACACUGGGGAAGAUAGACAUCCACUAGGUACACUGGGGAAGAUAGACAUCCACUAGGUCAUAUCACAGCACUGGGGAAGAUAGACAUCCACUAGGUACACUGGGGAAGAUAGACAUCCACUAGGUACAUAUCACAGCACUGGGGAAGAUAGACAUCCACUAGGUACACUGGGGAAGAUAGACAUCCACUAGGUACACUGGGGAAGAUAGACAUCCACUAGGUACACUGGGGAAGAUAGACAUCCACUAGGUACAUAUCACCAGCACUGGGGAAGAUAGACAUCCACUAGGUCAUAUCACAGCACUGGGGAAGAUAGACAUCCACUAGGUCAUAUCACAGCACUGGGGAAGAUAGACAUCCACUAGGUCAUAUCACAGCACUGGGGAAGAUAGACAUCCACUAGGUCAUAUCACAGCACUGGGGAAGAUAGACAUCCACUAGGUCAUAUCACAGCACUGGGGAAGAUAGACAUCCACUAGGUCAUAUCACAGCACUGGGGAAGAUAGACAUCCACUAGGUACACUGGGGAAGAUAGACAUCCACUAGGUCAUAUCACAGCACUGGGGAAGGAAAGGUGUAAAUGUGAAGUUAAUUUCCUCCUGGAAACCAGUUAGUUCCAGUAUUAAGUCCACAUGGGUGAUUUAUUAUGGAAAUCAUAUCAGACAACAUUGAGUUCAUGCAUAUUAUACUGUACGAUUCACCUUUAUGUGGUUCGUAAUUGUGUUGUGUGUGUGUGUUCUAUGCCUUUCUGUAUCUCUGUGUGUGUGUGUUUCUGUGUCCGUCUCUG